rnacentral:tRNA from 1 species
GCUUUCGUGGUGUAACGGUUAGCACACUUGACACGAAUUCGAGAGGUCCCGGUUCGAAUCCCGGCGAUGGCA